rnacentral:rRNA from 1 species
GAUCAUGGCUCGGGAUGAACGCUAGCUACAGGCUUAACACAUGCAAGUCGAGGGGAAACGACAUCGAAAGCUUGCUUUUGAUGGGCGUCGACCGGCGCACGGGUGAGUAACGCGUAUCCAACCUGCCCAUCACUUGGGAAUAACCUUGCGAAAGUAAGACUAAUGCCCAAUGAUAUCCCACGAAGACAUCUGAAAGAGAUUAAAGAUUUAUCGGUGAUGGAUGGGGAUGCGU